ACAGGAAUACUCCUUUAUCACAGGGACAGAAAAUAUCCUUAAAGUGAGCUGGAAGGAUUCUAAACAGAUCGAAGCAUCCCAGCAGCAUCCUUGCGGGUCUGGAUGGCUGACUCAGUGCCUGGGGAUUCUCUGAAUCAACUUCCACACAAAGAAAGAGUUACAACUGUCACUCAGUCUUUAUACGCUCAGAAUGAAGGCCAUCCACGUAUCAGGCACUGCUGACCACUGGUGACACGGGGGGCGAGCCGUUCUCCCACGGGCUUCGUGGUCCGGUCCUUUGAUCCAGUUAUGGAGAAAGUCAGAAAACAGCACAGCCCAGGCACAAGCACAUGUGUCUCCCGGUCGCCUAGAGAGCCACCUCAGCCUUAACAUGCAGAGGGCAUCGCCCGUGUGCUCACACCACAGCGUGACAGAACCCGCACUGAGGCUGUCAUCCACAGCGCUGCACACUGAAUCCCAUGCCAACUGCCCCCCUGGAAGGGUUUCCUUCCCUCCAGCUGGCAGCCAGACUCUUCCCCAAAUAAGAUGAGCUUGAACCUUGUUUUACAGCUGCGUUUCUGAAAAUCUCUGGUGAAACAGAAAUAAAAUGCUUUUCCCU